AGUCCCGGCUAGGGACACAGCUCUUAGACUUUGAGCUAGACAACCAGGAGGACAGGAGGACCUAGUAUCCUGCCUCCAUCAGCCCAUCAUUUAUGCAAAUGCUACUUAGUUGCCGUCUAGAUGCAGGAUGCUGUCUGCCCUGUUAAAUGCUGUGUGAACCCAGAUGGAAGCUGAGCAGACAUCACACUCGUGAGCAGCUCCCCUUCCUAUGCUGAGAUUAAAGGCAUGUGCCAUCACCACCUGAACAACAGCAGCUUUCUAAGGAACCAGUAAGGCACUACAGACUUUUCAUAUAACAUCACCUUCAUUCUCUCACAACUAAUUCUACAAAACAGAUGUUAUACGACCUCGUUCGCUGAAGUCAAAGAUGCAGAGGGGCCAAGGUGUGGGCUCCGGACCUCACACCAGUGUGGCAGAUUCAACAAGCCCAGAAUAAGCCUCUUCCUUUGCUCACAAUAAGAUUAAGCCAACUGCCUCUUCAUUCCUCAGUCACACUCCUCCUCUGACCCUGCUCCAGGAGGCUCAUCUUGUCAGACUUCACACUGAAUGAGCGCUGAGGAUGCUGUAGAGUAUGAGCUGUGUGCAGGUGAUAGCAGUGGAAAGAAGACUAAGACAGACUCCAUCUAGAAACCAGAAUGACCUCUUUUAUGGAAAAAGAGACUGUAUCACUCGUGUUUCUACCCACAAAAACCUCCACUGUGAGCUCUCUCUCACCUAGGCAGGAGUCUGCAUGGCCCCGCUCUUGCCACAUCGCCAACCCCAGCCUUUGUCACUCUCUCAUAACCACUCUGUCCCUGUACAGAUACAUGAUCUGUUCCUCCCACACAUCAGCUCUUCCUGACGCUGGGCCUUUGCAUAUGUUCUUCUGCCUCAUGCCUUUCCUCCUCUUCCUGCAGGAUUGCUAUCUUCUGGUCCUGUACUCCUCAAGCUCAAAGGCCAACGUCCUGGCAUUUGUGUGACGGCUUUUGCCCUACCCUGCAGAAUUUGCAAUAGGCAGUCUCUACAUGUACUCAGGGCCCAGUGGGCAUUCAACAUGUUCAUUGAAUGACAA
rnacentral:lncRNA from 1 species